UACGUAGGCAGCGAGCGUUGUUCGGAAUUACUGGGCGUAAAGAGUGUGUAGGCGGUGCUCCCAGUCUGUUGUGAAAUCUCCCGGCUUAACUGGGAGGGUGCAGCGGAAACUAGAGUGCUAGAGGGUGGGAGAGGUAAGCGGAAUUCCUGGUGUAGCGGUGAAAUGCGUAGAUAUCAGGAGGAACACCUGUGGUGUAGACGGCUUUCUGGACCAUAACUGACGCUGAGACACGAAAGCGUGGGUAGCAAACAGG
rnacentral:rRNA from 1 species